rnacentral:lncRNA from 1 species
AACUUACAUCCAUAUAUCACAGAAAUCCUGUAAAUGACAUCCACAAGAGCCAAAAAGAAAAAGGAACACAAAGGGGCUUGACCCCUCCAACAAUUCAAUCAAGGGAGUGCCCUUCAGAUACUUCGCUUCCAUAGUCAACUUCAUCAAGAAUGCUUGGAUGCAUAUUGCUUCCUUAGACCUUAAUUCAUGCCACCUGCAACCUAAAAGAACACGUAUAAGCAAUCACAUAAUGUCUUCAGAAAAAAUAUAUAUCCCUCCAACUUAAAAGGUGAUCACUGAGAAUUUUGUAAAGAAGUAAUAGUCUUGUAUGUAAGCAUGAAGAAGAUCACAAGAAUUGAACCAAUGGACUCACUAGAUGAUACAUGAUAUGCAUAGACUGGGAACUAAUGGAGGAAUGGACCAUAGAAAUAAUAUUACAUAAGAAUUAUGUCAUUCAGAAUGCACAACCAGUUCCAUGGUUUUCAGCACAUAAGCUGUCAGAAUUUCUGUCAGAGUUCAGUCCAGUUUCAAUGAACUAAUAAUGUUCAUGAAGAAGAAUUUUAGCGCAUAAGCAACAUAUAUAAGCUAACGACUAAGAAAUUCAUUUCAGCAUCCAAAUGGAUGGUCAGGUAACAAAAACAGAACAGAAGUACAGGAUUAAGAAAUUGGAUGGUAAAAUGAUUGAAUGUCUCAGUUUUAUUGUAGUUUGUUCGAAUUGGAGAAAAAUCUCAGUUGAGAAAGGUCUACAUGUUCUUCUAAACAUAAUGCUGACGGGAUUAAGAAUUGGACGAACCAGGUAGUGGUGCUUAAUCCCGUCCCUCCCUGUUAUCUACUUAUCAAAUGGGAAAGAUGUUUGAAUCUUUGAAUGGCUUUCAACUAACAGUGAUAAACACACAUGAAAUUCAUCUAUGCAAUCCACUUUCAGAAAGACAACUUUGCUUCCAUCUCUUCAGAUACCGGAGGCAUAUGUAGAGAAGGAACAUCAUAGUAACCUUAACUUCAAAUUCAACCAAAACAAAAAAGGAGGUGGACUGCAUCUGAAACUUGUUUUUAGUCCAGUACUAGACAUCACAUACUACAAAGCAAGUUGUUUGCACUUCAUUUUACAACUAUUAAUUCAAGUGCUUGAUAUGCUCCUUAUAGUAAGAGCUUAUCUUAUCCAAACCACACAACCAGAUUCUAAAACAAGCUAACAACUUCCCACGCAUUCAAUACAGUUUUGCUUGUUACACGUUGUAAAGCCACCAGACUCUUU